UUAGUCUCUGUUAGGGCGGUCAUUUGAAUAACAACAGAUUGGCAAGUAUAAAACUAAGGCACCUGUUGUACAUUUGGCAGCCUGGCAUCUGGGAAACAGCAAAUACUUUAGUAUGGCUCAAGUGUGUGUGUGUUAGGGAUGGAAGGAGUGGGGAAGAGAAAAUGAAUGUGAGUAUGGCAAGGUGGCAAGAGACAAAGCAGAGGAAAGGACAUCAAAGGCCAGGUGCCUUUUGGUAAGAAAUAUUUCAUGCUUUUUACAGACAGGAACAGGGAGCCACUGAAAUAUUUGAAAGCAAGGAAUGACUUGAUCAG
rnacentral:lncRNA from 1 species